UCCUGUAGCGCAAUGCUGAUUUUCCAUACGGCUUUGCAAUGAACUGCAUUCUUUUGUUUCCUCAGAUUGAUUAAUUAUUCUGGGUUUCAAAGAGGGAGAAAUUCCUGGUACUUUAUGGAAAAGAAUUUAAAAAGCCUGCCUGAAACUUUAAAAACAAGGACUUUGUGAAGUGUAAGGAAGGAAAGGAAAGAAGGAGGGAAGAAGUAAAGACUGAAAACUCACUUGACCUAUUCCCCUUUAGAACCAAAAGUUAGCAUAGUCUUCUCAGCUUCUUUGGAUGUUCAUUUUCCUGCAUUCAGAUUCCCACUUUCCUGCUUCUCUCCAAACUCAGAAACCGGUAACGAUCCUGCUUUUAAAACACAUGUUUUAUUAAUAACAGUGAGAUUAUUACUGUGUUUUUCAGCUUGCUGCAAAAGGCAGUCAGCUCAUUUGAUUUUAUCUCACGUGCGGCCUCUGAGUUGAUGCCAUUGAAUUCAAAGAAGAGGGGAGGACUCAGAAAUAUGGCUUCGCCUAAAAGGAUAGAUUCCCAGAUCUAGAAAUACUGGGCCAAAGGGCAUGAACAUUUUUAAGGUGAAAAAAGGUAUCUUUGACAUCAGUUGUAAAGAAGCCACCAUGACGAACAGGAACAAUGCCAGGACCCACUUCCCAACUAUGGAGAAAAAUCUGUGAGUCAACACUCAGUUGUUUCCACCUUGGAAAGGGAACCUACUUUGAGAGGUUCCGGGAAUACCAUGUGAACUCUGGAAUCCCAAGAGCCUGACUCAAAGACUGAAGACCAUAUCCUUCAAAGGCAGAUGUUAUUGGAUCUGUACUACCCAACAAUGCCCAGCACAUGGUAGAUAUUUAUGUAGAUACACAGUACACGUUGAAAUGAAACGAUCCUGCUGAUGCUUAGACAUGUUUCAUAUUCUUCCUCCCUGUGAGCUUGUGUUCACUCCUAUUCCUGUCCUUCCUCCAUAGAUCUGCUUAAGAUGUUGGUCACACACCAGUCACUUCUCAGAAUGUGGACAAAGAUUAUUUUCGUGAUCAAAAAAUGGGUACUUACAUUUUUAAAAAUUGAAAUUUUACUAGGACUUCCCAAAGUGUGCAAGCUAAGUAAAGAAAUAAGGCAACACUCGAGGCAAGAUGGUAAUUCUGGUGAUAUAUUCAGUGUCCAGAUAUAUAAUACCAGGUUUUUAACUAGAAAGAGCAAAUGGAAAAAAUGGAGGUACAGAAAAAGUAGGCUAAUUGGAAAUGUACUAAGGGAGAGGAAAGAAUUAGCAAUGAUUUUGAGGUUGGAAAAAUAGGAGAAUUGUACAGCAUUGCCAGAAACAGAGAAAGUCCAGAGUUAGGGUGGGGGUUGGAAUCAGUGAUUUUACAGCAAAGAUGAGAUUGGUCUUACCUGUUUAGACCUUGCUGCUGUAAGCCUUUUGAUUUUAGCUGUAAUUAUAAUUUAUCAACACAUCUUUCCUUUCCUUGGAACUUGGGAAGAAAUUCCCUUAUAGGCAUCAUUGAAUUUUUGUUCUUUCCCAGAAAUAAACAUGUCUAAGUUACCAUAUUAAAAAAAGUGAUGGUGAGUUAAUCAAUGGUUGAAGCAUUUUUUACUUCUAAAGGGAA